rnacentral:lncRNA from 1 species
GUAUGCUCCUAAAAACAAAGGGAGGACUGCUAGAAAAGGGAUUUAAUUCAGCUCUCGCCCAGCUUAGCACUAGCGCCUAAAGUAGAUGAAGCCUGCAGGCCGCAGGAGUGAGUUGUAAAUGAGCUCGAGGGACAUCGCUGAGGAUGCGACUGCAAACCCAGCUAGAACCAGCCCUCAAGGACACAGCACACAACGGCCAGAGGUAACCGUCAACCUUGGGAUAAGAGAAGGCACCGUGAAGCAGGAACACAGCAACCGUCCCGGGAUGUAGACGUGAACCAAUCCAGAGGAAAGAGACCACCGACUCAGUAAAGAAGAUUGGGAGAGACUGUCACGGGCAGUGUCAAAUGCCUCCAGAAAGCUGUAAAAGAUCCUUACCCUAUUAUUUGCUGACCAUGUGCUUUUAAACUAGGAGUCUGUGCUAAGUGUGGAAAGGAAGAAGAAAUUGUAAUUCUAGUACUUUGAUACUCCACUAAAGUCACCUGAGCUACAAGGUUUCACAUGAGAAAAACCUGCGAGGAUCUCAGCAACAUCCUCCAUCUGCAAACCGCAACAGGAGCAGCUGCCCCAGCCCGAGGCUUAUCCUCACUCAUGGGUCUUCAGAGAAUAAUCAGAGGCUAUUUGAAAUGCAUCUUCUGGAUGCAGGGAUGUAAAUUAGAAAUUAGAGCUGAUCUAAUUUUGUGGUGCAGCUCGAUUAAGAGUGCCAUUUCAGCAAUGAGUAUUUAAAUCAGGUUUCAACAGAAGGUAUUUUCUA